GCAACGAUGCAUAGCCGACCUGAGAGGGUGAUCGGCCACACUGGAACUGAGACACGGUCCAGACUCCUACGGGAGGCAGCAGUAGGGAAUCUUCCGCAAUGGGCGAAAGCCUGACGGAGCAACGCCGCGUGAGUGAUGAAGGUCUUCGGAUCGUAAAACUCUGUUAUUAGGGAAGAACAUAUGUGUAAGUAACUGUGCACAUCUUGACGGUACCUAAUCAGAAAGCCACGGCUAACUACGUGCCAGCAGCCGCGGUAAUACGUAGGUGGCAAGCGUUAUCCGGAAUUAUUGGGCGUAAAGCGCGCGUAGGCGGUUUUUUAAGUCUGAUGUGAAAGCCCACGGCUCAACCGUGGAGGGUCAUUGGAAACUGGAAAACUUGAGUGCAGAAGAGGAAAGUGGAAUUCCAUGUGUAGCGGU
rnacentral:rRNA from 1 species